UCGGAGACGGUGCUCGUGCGGGCGGUGAUGCGACACGCGUAUCCGAAAGACUCUCGGCAACGGAUAUCUCGGCUCUNNNNNNNNNNNNNNNNCGCAGCGAAAUGCGAUACUUGGUGUGAAUUGCAGAAUCCCGUGAACCAUCGAGUCUUUGAACGCAAGUUGCGCCCGAAGCCAUUAGGCCGAGGGCACGCCUGCCUGGGUGUCGCCCAACGUUGCCCCAUUGCCUUGGCCUUGUGCUAGGCACCGAGCUGGGCGAAUGCUGGCUUCCCGCGAGCAAUGCCUCACGGUUGGUUGAAAACUGAGUCCGUGGUGGAGGGCGCCGUGAUGGAUGGUGGUUGAG
rnacentral:rRNA from 1 species